AUGGCAGCAGGUAUUUCUAAACUCUGGCUCAUAAAACACAGCGAUCUCAGGGUUGUUUUCCACCAUAUUCCUGCCUGCUGAAAGUUGAAGUAUCAGUCGAUACCUAUUUUGGAAAAGCAGCUGGAAAGGUAAAUCAGCAGAGUGGCAAAUAUUUAAGUUGGAGCUGUCAAUUUCUUACACACUUUGAGUCAAAAUCAGAUGGGAUAGAUCUGGUGCUGGACUUUGGUGAGGCUCUGCACUGGUGUAAUACACAGGGUUUUCUUUAUACACUUAACUGAGUGCUUGGUUAAUCAGUCAGCUGACUGGCUUGCAGUGAUUUCAGCAGAGGAAGCGUCUGCAUGGAUUCCAACUGAAGAUUCCUACAAGCAAGUGGAGGGAAGAUGUUUUAGACUCAGCAGACUGUAUACAUUUUGGUGAUCAAAGGCUAACUGACACUUAGCCAGGAUUCAAACCGUUUGGGGCACUGAAUGUUCCGGAUUCCUGAGGAAAAUGACACCACACCACAACUUCUGUGACACUUUAGAUAAACCUUGUUCAUCCAUGUCUUAUGCACAACUUCACCUAAUUCAACACAGACCGAAACUUCUCUUUGUGCACCCAAGGAACCAUGGCCAUUUGAGAUUAAUCCAGCACAGCACUGGGAUGUCACUAGUAUACGUGCUGAACUAUGGGUGAAUAAAUGUAGCACACUGGGCAUUUCUGACUGGGUAUCAUACACCUGUACUUGAAGCACAUCCAUGGUGUCUCGCCUCACUACAGUCAUGUCCAUCUGCUUGGAAGGCACUAUAUUCACUCACAGGUGCUGCAAGCAGGACCAUUAGACUUUAUUUGCCCGACAAAGAUAGAGUUGGAAUGCAUAACGCUGCCAUCUCGUUGGUAGAAAGCUCUCAUUACUGCAUGCGAUUAUGAGGAAACGCUGCCUGUUAUAUUUUAAUACAUAUAUAUAGACACUUACCAGACCAGCCAAGGAAAUGUGAAAAGAAGGAAGCUGCAUAGUUCUCUGUGGAGACCAACAGUGACGCCUGCAGAGGAAACAGCUCAAGCUAGCAAAAUAAGGGUCAAUUUGACUUCAGUCAUGUUUAUCCAGGAAUUGUCCUCUUUUUCUUGACAUAUCUUAAGUAUAAAAUUUGGGUAUGAAUAAAGUAUAUUUGCAGGAAUGUGAGAUGUGAUUUUUAGUAAGUGGCAUGAUUACCUUUGAAUUGAUACCAAACCAAUACAAAAGCAUAGUAAUGUUGGAGGCCAGCUCCCAUUGGGAGUUGCAUAUGCUAACCUUGAGAACACACUCGAUCCCAAGUAUUUAAUUCACUGCUCCCCUGAGAAGUAUGUUUGGAAUAACAGUAAGCAAGGGGCAAAACCAGUCUGACCACCUUGAAAGAAUAGUGAACUGAGAAAUCUUUUUUCUUCUUCUUGUCCAGAAGGAAGUAGCAUAAGGACUCUGCAUGGAAGUGCAAAGACAAAUGAAAAAGAAAAUUUAAAAGAAACAAUUAACCAAACUUUAGUAAAUAUCAGAGUUUUGGUUUGAUUUCAAUUUGAGAUUGGGGCAAAUGUUGUGUAAGGGGUGUUAUUAUUUAAAUACUUUCUAUAUAUACCAUCUUCCAAAGAGGGGAGUCUGAAUUCUUACCCAG